AGUGAACGCUGGCGGUAGGCCUAACACAUGCAAGUCGAACGGCAGCACAGUAAGAGCUUGCUCUUAUGGGUGGCGAGUGGCGGACGGGUGAGGAAUACAUCGGAAUCUACUUUUUCGUGGGGGAUAACGUAGGGAAACUUACGCUAAUACCGCAUACGACCUACGGGUGAAAGCAGGGGAUCUUCGGACCUUGCGCGAUUGAAUGAGCCGAUGUCGGAUUAGCUAGUUGGCGGGGUAAAGGCCCACCAAGGCGACGAUCCGUAGCUGGUCUGAGAGGAUGAUCAGCCACACUGGAAGUGAGACACGGUCCAGGCUCCUACGGGAGGCAGCAGUGGGGAAUAUUGGACAAUGGGCGCGAGCCUGAUCCAGCCAUACCGCGUGGGUGAAGAAGGCCUUCGGGUUGUAAAGCCCUUUUGUUGGGAAAGAAAAGCAGCAGGUUAAUACCCCGCUGUUCUGACGGUACCCAAAGAAUAAGCACCGGCUAACUUCGUG
rnacentral:rRNA from 1 species